CACAGAGCUGGAAUUGCAGUAAGGAUAUAUCAUUUGGGGAAUCAGAUCAUUAGACACGACCUGUUUAAAGUAGAAAAAUAUCAGAGAAAUGUUCAUCACAUAAAAUUUUAAUUCCUCAACAUGAAAAGACUAAAAUGAGACAUCAGAGAAUAAGAUAAGGAAAUAGAGAGAAGAAAAUGUCUCUCAAAAAGAAGAUAUAAAUUAGAACUUUUCCCAAAAGCCAUUAGAUCGACCUUGAAAAUAGAUAGGGGGUUGGGGAGUAAAGGAGUGCUAUUACCACAAAGCCACAGAAAAAAUAUUAAGAAAUGAUUUUCUGUUUGUUUGUUUUCAAAGCAAUCAUAGCAGAUUCUAAGAAGGCUUUUUCAUUUUUGUUCCCUUUAAUGAAAACAAACAUCACACAAAUUCCCAUAUGAUGGGAGUACUGAAAAAGGAACUAUACAAAUAAUUUCCACAUGCCACAAGCCAGUCAUUUCAAUGGGACUUUGAAAUUAUAUCAUCUUUGCUUAUUAACGCAUUUGUUUAAAUAAUUCUUUAAACUCUUUUCAGGUGAAUAAAUGCAAUCAUGCAGAAAUGAUAAGAACUGUGUUUUGUGUUACAGAAACUUCUCCAGAUUUCUACAUUUAAUUUUAGCUUUUACUUCUUGACCGAAGAAUAGGAAAUUAUUUUAAACUGCUCUGGUGGUGCAAUGAGAUGCCUCAGCACAUAUGGGUGCUUUUGCCACAUCUGAUAACUCAAGUUCAUGUCUCAAACAUGAAGGGUGGAAGGAGAGAACUAACUCACACAAGUUGUCCUCUGGCUUCUUCUCAAGCACCAUGACACAGAUACCCACACACAUAUUAUUAUACACAUACACAUACACUUACACACACAUACACACACACACACACACACACACAGAGUAAAUCUAAUAUAUUUAACAUAAUUUAGCACAUGUGUGAACAUGUUCUACUAUAUAUCAUGUAAAAGAGUUUACAUGUUUAAAUAAGUUCUCCACAUUAUACUUAGAAUGUAAAAAAGACAACAAAGGUUUAAAAUAGAGUCUUAGCAUAUUCAGUUAGAGUGAAUGCAUUUUUACAGUAACAUGAAAAGCUUUGAGUGACUAGUAUCAGCGCCAGGAUAAUAAAGUUCUUUGUUUUUCUUCAAUGUUUUUAUGUUCAAAUAUUGAUGUGGUCAAAUUGUCACAUUUAAGAAAAGGAUUUACCUUGUCAUUUUUUUUUUUAACAUGUGGGUUGUUUUUUCUGCGUGUGGGUGUGUUUUCAUGUGUGACACAUGUGUGUCUGCCUGUAAAAUCCAGAAGGGCAUUGGAUCCUCUGGGGUUGGAGUUACAGGCAGUUCUGAGCUGCACAGCAUUAUUGUUGAGAACCAAGCUUAGAUCCUAUGCAAGAGCUUUAGGAGUUUUUAACUGCUCAGCCAUUUCUCAAGCUGUCACAUUUUUAUAUCUAUCGUAUUUUUAUAUCUGUUUUCUCAGUACUCUGUUGUUUAUUCUACUGUAUGCCUUUAUGUUACUUUCUGUAAGAUUAUUCUAAUAAUCACAAUUUGCACGGUUACUGAAAAUAUACUGGAUUAGAUUAUUUAUUGAUUAAAACUGAUAGCAUGUUUUUAAGAGGUGCUAUAUGCCUGUACCCCCUAACAGUAUAAUGUUUUUAUAUACUCUGUGUUCAUCUGUUUAGCCCUCUACUUGGCAAUGUGAACCUGGGAGAGCAGAGCCCAAAACUGAGGUGGACUGAAGUCUCAUGCAAUAGCCAAACUUCAUUCAGAGCGUCAGUCAAGUUAUGCUCUGAGGGUUAAGAAGAGUCACCUGUGUAAAGUGUGCAAUCACAAGGACAAGCUGCUUAUGGCAAGAAACUUGUUUUCCAUAGAGGAAUGAAAUAAAAUACCAGUAGCCAGCUGUGAUGAAGAAAGUGAACUCAGUCCUAUCCACUACACCUAGGAGGGGCAAAAAAACACAUUCCAAGCUCUAGGAAGCUAGAAGAGCCAUUGGGGUUAACAGCAGAAGCGCGGCACCUGAUAUAAGGGAUGAGAACUGAACUCUGGUUUUCUACAAGAGCAGCAAGCAGUCUUAACCAUUAAACCAUCUCUCCAGCACUGGUGGAGAUGAGGACCAGGGUAUGGGGCAUGCCCGGAUGCUGCUGAUGUGCCUGUCUCUGCUGCUCCCUGGUGGCUGCUGAUGCCCAAUGGUUGCUACUCUCUGAGGAUGCAGGAUGUUACUUGAUGGCUCAGAAAUAACAUGCCUUCAGACACAUUUGGAAAUAGAUACCUCUACACCGUGUGCUCUGCAAAUAGGACAACGCGUGUGCUUCAUACAUAGUUUGUUGACUAGUUUAACAAAUAUUUGCUGUUUUAACUGUGAAGAUGUACGGCUCAAAGAAGACUGUUUUCAAAACAUUACAGGUAUUGACAAAGCCCUUGGUCACCAAAGAAUUCUGGUAGAGAAACCAAGACCAACAUCUGCUUAUACAGUGUUGAUUCUGAAGCACGUGGGUUCAGAAAAGUUUUUUUAACUCUUUACCUCUAUUUCUUAAUCUCAGAGCAAAAAGAACCUUCUGAAAUGUUGACUUGUUUCAGCCACAAAAAGGUAUUUUCUCAUAACAUAAAACAUAUUUUACUCUAUAUUUUAUGAAUUUUAAUUCAUAAGCACAUUUGUAUGAGUAUUUUCCUAAAAUGUUA